GGCCCCUAAACAAAUAUAUGCUAGUUCAGUGAUAAUGAACGCCAUAUUUAUUUCCAAAUUGUACACAAGAAACUAAAAUUAAAAAUAAUACAAGACUAACAAAGGCCAGAGGCUCCUGACUUGGGAUAGGCGCAAAAAUGCGGCGGGGUUAAACAUGUUUGUGAGAUCUCAACCCUCCCCCUAUACCUCUAGCCAAUGUAGAAAAGUAAACGUAUAACAAUACGGACAUUAAAAUCCAGUUCAAGAG
rnacentral:lncRNA from 1 species